rnacentral:rRNA from 1 species
CAAUCGCCGCGUAGGAUUAGAAGAAGGUUUUCGGAUUGUAAAGUCCUUUCGGCGGGACGGAUGAUGACGGUACCCGCUACGAAGAAGCCCCGGCUAAACUUCCGUGC